CAAGUUACUUGCACAGGAUCAUUUUUGCAUCUGAAAUUAUUUACCAAACAGUAUAAGGUAUUAUGAUGCCUACAGAUGUUUCUUACUUCAUGCAUGGAUUGCAAUCUUUUGUCUUUGUCAACGACAUGCUUGAAAUCCACAAGUCCAGACUUCCAAAGUGUGUGUCAAAAUAAAAACAUGAGUUAAAAAAAAAUUCGAAUUCAUUUUUACAUAAGACUCUUGUCUUAUGUAAAAAUGAAUUAGAACUUUCCAGACAGGCAGAACAAUCCCCACAGGCCACAACUGAACCCCCUGUCGGCUGGUCCUGGCGAUUGGGCCAUACAUCUGACACCACUGGACUUGGUUGAUGUUGUCGACUUUACAACUUCGCUUCAGCUGGAAUCUCGUCUUUUGGCAAAAAGACGGAUGCCUCGCUGACAUCAACAUGCUUGUAGAACUAUCUUAUUAAAAAUGGGGCUGGUGGAACAAGCACCUUUGAAAUAUACAAGGCUUUCUCAAAUAGAACUAAACCAUAAGUGCCGUGCACUCCUUCCGUCUGAAAAGGCAUCAGCUAACGCUAGCUGACAAAGGGCUUAAAUCCUCACGUCAGCUAUCUGCAACUUCACCAAACAUUCUCCGACAACAAGAUGAUAUAUUGCAGUAGUUGAUCAGUAACCUCUUUGUAUGUAUGUGUGUGUGUGUGUGUACAAUUAAUGCUGGACACCUAAAGAAAACAUCUCAAUGGGCGUUUCUACCAACCAUCAACUUUCAUCCCACAGCUUGAAGAUGCCGCCCCCAACCCGCUACUCACUCAUUCAAUCACAAUUCACAGAUGCCUUCAAAGUGUCUCACUCAGUCAGAUCUUAUGUGCAUUACUUUUGCAACACUCCACUCAACACAACUGCAGGUUUCCUACAAUACAUUAUCGCAAACAAUUGUGUUUUUCUUACUUGUACAGUAUAGUAAACCACUUCUAUCGUGGAGGGAAGUAAAUUACAGACCCAGUCAGAUCUCCAGAAUUGAGGAAUGUACAAAACAAACCGACCGAGUAGUCAAUCCUCUGAAAACAUAACCCCAGUCUGUUUCUAUACGGUAAUUUAUUUUAAUUUGUCGGAGCGGGGCGGGGUCCAAUUCAGGACUCUUCUAUGAUCUUUGUGGAUUAUUUAGUUAUGUUGAUUUUUAUUAUGCUAAAUGGGGUUUAUAAAUAAUAAAUGGGAACAAGAGUCACCUCAUUGAUCUCCAGGCUGGUCAACACGUGUAAUUAAAUGUAUUCGUGAGUGCCUGCUCAAAGGGGGACAUAACGCCACAGACUGUAGCAGAGGCCCUGGAUGAAUCGAUAGUACGACUAAACGUGCGUGCAAACACACUUGCUGAAUUGCAGCAAUGUUUCCUGGAGCCACAGUGGGUUGGGAUGUGGUGAAAUAAAGUGGCAAGAUUUCAGUGCUCUGUAUAGUAAGGUUCAGCCAGAGCUACCUUAUUAGCACAGCUUUUCACCACAUCUAAUUUGUCU